CGCCACUACAUGGAAAAAAAGUGCAUUUGUUAAUCCCGACGACUUCGAGAGAGGAAGAAGAGAGGAAGAGAGAAGGAGAUUGACCGGACCAGAGCAGACCAUUAUCAAAAGUCUAAAACCCUAAUUAUCAGAGGAGCAAUUGCUUAUCUCGGAAUCCUCAAAUCUUCAUUGGGUCUCCUCAUCUUUUCACUCUCUUCUCCGUUUCUUUGCAAUUAUACCACGAGGUUUGACAAAAUUUCCCUGGAUAUAAUCAUUGAAUGAGUAAGUACUCUUCCUUAUCCCCAGGUAUGCUAAAUAUCUAUUUUAGAUUGUCGUUUGUGAGUAAGUAAGUGUAUUCUCAGUGUUUUAAUUCGGUUAUAUAAGACUAUUAUUAAGCCUUUUUUUUGGUAUGGGUGUAGCUUGAUCCAGCUGUUAAAGAGGCAUUUGAUGUUGAGAAUAUGAAACUAAGUAAAAUAUCACUCCAUUUUUGUUUUUCUGGUUUACAUUAGAAGAAUGCUGAUGGGUUUCAAACUAGACAUGGAUUCUGAAUUAGAAGAAUGCUGAUGGGUUUUGAUCUGAUGUUCACUGGCUCUCGUCCCUUUUUUUUUAUCUCUUUAUUCUUCUCUCUUUAGCAAAAAUUGGAAUACUUUCCUUUGAUUCAUAGAACCCUGUAGACCCUCGUUCAUGUAUAUACAGGGAUGAUCCAAGGCCUAAGUUCUCCAAAGGAUAUUCUCCUCAUCUAACCACAGUCCAUUCUGAAAGUAUAAAAUCGCAGUCCUAUCGUGAACCAUUAGGAAAAUCAAUAGUUAAAUGGACAUGUCUUUUGCAUUUUUCUUGAAUGUAGCUUACAUCACUGGAGGGUGUUAGAUGCAAGCGAAUAUCAAGGUGCAUUACUUCUGUGGGUCUUUAUGUUCCUGGGAGAACUGCAGUUUUACCUUCAAUUGUACUCUCGCUUGCAGUGAACAGUGAAGCGAUGGUUUCAAUAGAUAUGCCAUCCAGGUUAAUAUAGUAGCUGAUUUACUGUCUCAGAACCGAGGAAUAAUACUAUAAGGUGUGCAAUGAAGUCUUAUAGGUUGUCAAAGCUGUCAAAGACUGAGGUUGACAGCCUUAAGGCUCGCCCUCGUAUUGAUUUCUCUGCCAUGUUUAGCACGUUAUAUACCACGAGGUUUGGCAAAGUUUCCCUGGCUAAAAUCAUUGAAUGAGUUGCUGAUCUUCUUGAUCCCCAGCUUGAUCCAGCUGUUAAACAGGCAUUUGAUGUUGCGUAUGAUAACAUAGCAUUUCAUUUUCCCCAAAAGCUCCCCAGGUGAAAGUUGUGAACAUGAAAUGUGUUAUAUGCAAGUGCGUAUCAAGGUGCAUUACUUCUGCGGGUCUUUAUGUUCCUGGGAGAACUGCAGUUUUACCUUCAAUUGUACUCUCGUUUGCAGUGAUGACAGAUUGCAGGAUACGAAAUUGUUGUUCUGGCUACUCCCCCAGGAAAAGAUGGCAGCAUCUGCAAGGAGGUGGUUUAUUGUGCCAAGAAAGCUUUUGUGACUCAUUCUUAUCUUAAAGCCGGGGGAGCUCAGGCCAUUUCAGCGAUGGCGUGGGGGACUUCAUCUUGUCCUAAGGUGGAGAAAAUUGCUGGACCUGGAAAUCAGUAUGUCACAGCUGCAAAACAGUGAAGUGAAGUGAUGGUUUAUGCAUCGAGAACUUUCUUUUUUAUCUUCCUCGAUGCAGAACAGUGAAGUGAUGGUUUCAAUAGACAUGCCUGUGGCCCAUCUGAAGUUCUGGUUAUUGCUGAUAAGCUUGCCAGCCAGGUUCAUGUAGCAGCUGAUUUACUGUCUCAGCUGUUUAUAACUAACCUUACAUCUCUGGAUUUCUCAUUUAGUUGGCAGAGCAUGGUCCUGAUUGUCGGGGUGUGCUUGUAAUUGCUGGAGAUGGUGGAGAUGUGGAUGCCAUUGAAAAGAGUGAAUGUCAAAGAUGCAGAGAACUGGGAGGAAUUGAUCGAAAAGAUCAUCUCAACUUCUGCCUGGUAACUUGCUUCAGCAACUUUGUGUGUCUGUUGCAAGGCAUGAGAGAUUAUGCAAGUGGGCUAACUUAGAUAUCAGACCUCCGAACUGUUGCGGGAGGAACUCUUGUUUAACCAACUCUAGGGAAGCUAGUCCAGCAUAUUGGUUUCUGAGUGUCAAUGGUUUUAGAGCAUGAAUCCUCAGAUAUCCAGGCUAAAAGUAAAAGUUGUGGUCGGAUUCAGAAAAGCCAAUGGCAAAUACCAUGGGCCAUGGGGUCUCUCUGGAGAUCAUACUUCUCAUACUCUGUCUAUGGAGAGAGCUUCUCCUCAGACCUUCACCAACCAACUCUUUGCCAUUGGCAAUAUGCCAGCAUCUACUCCGGCCGGAAUGAUUCAUCCACCGAAAACAAAAACCGUGAUUUGCACCGUGUGGGAACCUUCGGUGGAUGUAGACUCUCUGAUUCCUUAUAAAACGAUUUACGUUGAUUUACUUUCAGGAUGUGGGAUUAUUUUAGAAUCUUUAUUUAUUAUAUAAACUAGUGUCUCGCCCGUGCUUCGCACGGCCUCAAGUUCAUCAUCCCAGAAUUACUGAAAUGGUAAUCUUAAUUUUAU